GGGCCCGCACAAGCGGUGGAGUAUGUGGUUUAAUUCGAUGCAACGCGAAGAACCUUACCAGGGUUUGACAUCCUGCGAAUUUCUGGGAAACCGGAAAGUGCCUUCGGGAGCGCAGUGACAGGUGGUGCAUGGCUGUCGUCAGCUCGUGUCGUGAGAUGUUGGGUUAAGUCCCGCAACGAGCGCAACCCACGUCUUUAGUUGCCAGCAUUUAGUUGGGCACUCUAUGGAAACUGCCCGUGAUAAGCGGGAGGAAGGCGGGGAUGACGUCAAGUCCUCAUGGCCCUUACGGUCUGGGCUACACACGUGCUACAAUGGUGGUGACAGUGGGCAGCGAUACUGCAAAGUAAAGCUAAUCCCAAAAAACCAUCUCAGUUCGGAUUGGACUCUGCAACUCGAGUCCAUGAAGUUGGAAUCGCUAGUAAUCG
rnacentral:rRNA from 1 species